GAUGAACGCUAGCUACAGGCUUAACACAUGCAAGUCGAGGGGCAGCACAGUGUAGCAAUACAUGGGUGGCGACCGGCGCACGGGUGCGUAACGCGUAUCCAACCUUCCCGUUACUCAGGGAUAGCCUUCCGAAAGGGAGAUUAAUACCUGAUGGUGUUCAAAUUCCGCAUGUUAUUUGAACUAAAGAUUCAUCGGUAACGGAUGGGGAUGCGUGACAUUAGGUAGAUGGCGGGGUAACGGCCCACCAUGCCUUCGAUGUCUAGGGGUUCUGAGAGGAAGGUCCCCCCACACUGGAACUGAGACACGGUCCAGACUCCUACGGGAGGCAGCAGUGAGGAAUAUUGGUCAAUGGUCGGAAGACUGAACCAGCCAAGUAGCGUGAAGGAUGAAGGUUCUAUGGAUUGUAAACUCUUUUAUACGGGAACAAACCUUGGUACGUGUACCAAAUUGCGUGUACCGUAAUGAAUAAGCAUCGGCUAACUCCGUGCCAGCAGCCGCGG
rnacentral:rRNA from 1 species